rnacentral:rRNA from 1 species
GGCGUGCUUAACACAUGCAAGUCGAACGGGAUCCAUUAGCGCUUUUGUGUUUUUGGUGAGAGUGGCGAACGGGUGAGUAACACGUGAGUAACCUGCCCUUUUCUUUGGGAUAAGCCUGGGAAACUGGGUCUAAUACUGGAUGUUCCGGCUUCCUCGCAUGGGGUUGUUGGGAAAGGUUUUUUCUGGAUUGGGAUGGGCUCGCGGCUUAUCAGCUUGUUGGUGGGGUGAUGGCUUACCAAGGCUUUGACGGGUAGCCGGCCUGAGAGGGUGGUCGGUCACACUGGGACUGAGAUACGGCCCAGACUCCUACGGGAGGCAGCAGUGGGGGAUAUUGCACAAUGGACGGAAGUCUGAUGCAGCGACGUCGUGUGGGGGAUGAAGGCCUUCGGGUUGUAAACUCCUUUCGCCCGCGGAAAAGGCAGGGUUUUGGCCUUGUUGAUGGUAGUGGGUAAAGAAGCGCCGGCUAACUACGUGCCAGCAGCCGCGGU